UUUUGGGGGGCCCUAAAAGUUGGCUUUUUGUUCGGAUCAAAAUUUGAGAAAAUGUUCUUCAUGAAAGUCGUAGAGGACGUUAAAUCGAGUUCGUGGACACGUAGUUUGUUUAAAUCCAAAUUUUGACGGGAAAGUUAUGACUUAAAAAUAAGAGUUACCAUAUUUAGUUUGGGUUUUAUUUAAGUGAUUUCCAUUUUGGGAAGAGAGAGAAAAGUGACAGAUCAAGGAAAAAUCGGGACAAGCCCGAGCUCUCCCUCCCCCUUUCUUUUUCUUUCGCCGCCGGCCUUCUCCCACAAAAUUCAUCGCCGUCCGGCCACCACAGGACGAAUCGUUUGGCAUGGCGUGAUCCUCUCCUCCUUCUCUACCUAGUCAUCUUGUUUUGAUUGGUGGAGGAAGAUUUGAAGCUGUUUGAGACUGUGAACACUCAUUUUGACCCAAGGAAGAAGAAUUGAAGGUGAGGGUGAUGAUGAACAGUAACUGGCUGGAUUUCAUGUAUUUGGGUUGAAAUCCCGGCCACUUCCACUCGCUUUUGGUUGUUGUUGCAGGACGUACUGAACCCUCGAGUGAAAAGGAGCCGAGCAGGCAGCAGGAUUAGCUACGAGAUUCACCUGUUGCAGGCCAGUUUAGCUUGAGGUCGAGCGUACAUGGGGUUGAGGCAUAGCUGUCAUAGCUUCCGCAUUAUAAAAGUAUCGGCCCUUUAUCUUGUAUUCUACCUUCUUGUACGCCUGUACAAUAGAUUGCUCUGAUAACUCUUGAGAUUAAUAUUCUUAAGUUCAGAAUUGUUUGUGAAAUUGGGAAGUGUUGUGAUUUAAGGAGCAUGGUGGCUCCAGAAGA